rnacentral:misc_RNA from 1 species
GGGAUACUCUUUAUGUCCUUUCGGAGCCCAUUUUAACACGCUGGCCUUUGAAUAAGUUAAUCAGAGAGAAGGCUCUUCAAGCAACAAUGCAUCAUAUCCAUUAUGAAGAUGAGAAUAGCAGAUACAUUACCAUCGGAUGCGUAGAGAAGGCGUUAUGCAUGCUUGCUUGCUGGGUGGAAGAUCCUGAAGGUAUUUGCUUCAAGAAACAUCUUGCCAGGGUUCCAGAUUACUUUUGGCUUGCAGAGGAUGGACUUAAAGUUUCUGGAUUCGGCAGUCAGGCUUGGGAUGCUAAUUUUACCUUUCAGGCUUUGUUUCUCAGCGAUCUCGGCAAUGAAAUCAUGCCCACACUAGCCAAAGCAUACGAUUUCAUUAAGAAAACUCAGAUGAAAGACAAUCCUGCAGGUGACUUUAAUUGCAUGUUUCGUCACAUUUCUAAAGGAGCAUGGCCUUUCUCCGAUCAAGAUCAUGGCUGGCAAGUUUCUGAUUGCACUGCAGAAGGCUUGAAGUGUCUUCUAUAUGCUUCAAAGUUGCCUCCAGAAGCCAUCGGUGACAAGGCAGAGCCUCAACGCUUAUAUGAUGCGGUCAAUGUCAUACUUUCCCUGCAGAGUAAAAAUGGUGGCUUACCACCCUGGGAGCCGGUAAGAGGUGCAAUGUGGUUAGAGAAACUCAAUCCCAUGGAAUUUCUUGAGAACAUUGUGAUCGAGCAUGAGUAUGUUGAGUGCACAUCAUCUGCAAUUGAUGCGCUAGUAAUGUUCAUGAAGAUGCACCCAGAUUAUAGGACCAAAGAAAUUGAGAACUGCAUCGCCAAUGCUGUCCAAUAUCUCCAAGACAUUCAAACAGCUGAUGGUUCUUGGUAUGGAAAUUGGGGAAUUUGCUUCAUUUAUGGGACAUGGUUUGCGCUUGUUGGGCUAUUGGCUGCUGGAAAAACUUAUGACGAGUGUCCCGCGGUGCGUAAAGGCGUUGAUUUUCUGCUAAAAAAUCAAUGCCGCGAUGGGGGUUGGGGAGAGAGUUGUCUCUCCUGCCCAAAUAAGAUAUAUACACCCCUUAAAGAAUGGCGGUCCAAUUUGGUUCAUACAGCGUGGGCUAUGUUGGGUUUAAUGCAUGCGGGUCAGGCAAAGAGAGACCCUACUCCUCUUCAUCGUGGAGCAAAGUUGUUGAUCAAUUCUCAAAUGGAAGACGGUAGCUUCCCUCAGCAGGAAAUAUUGGGAGCAUUCAAGAAUAACAACAUGCUUCACUACCCAAUAUAUAAGGAUUGCUUCCCAUUGUGGGCUCUCGCAGAAUACCGCAAACACUGUUUAUUGCCGUCCAACAGCAUUUGAACCCAAUUGGAUGGGAGGCUUCCUUUCGAAGGGAUUAUUAUCCAAAAAUAAUUUAGAAAACAAUGGAUUUCGGAUGUAUGUAGAGAAUAAUGAGUAUAAGUUUACAUGUUGUUUGCUGGUUUACAACUUGACAA